rnacentral:rRNA from 1 species
AUUGAACGCUGGCGGCAGGCUUAACACAUGCAAGUCGAGCGAGCGGCGGACGGGUGUGUAAUGUCUGGGAAACUGCCUGAUGGAGGGGGAUAACUACUGGAAACGGUAGCUAAUACCGCAUACCAUCAGAUGUGCCCAGAUGGGAUUAGCUAGUAGGUGGGGUAAUGGCUCACCUGGGCGACGAUCCCUAGCUGGUCUGAGAGGAGGACCAGCCACACGGGAACUGGAACACGGUCCAAACUCCAACGGGAGGCAGAAGUGGGGAAUAUUGGACAAGGGGGGCAAGCCUGAUGCGGCCAUGCGGGGUGUGUGAAGAAGGCCUUCGGGUUGUAAAGCACUUUCAGCGAGGAGGCGUUAAUCGCAGAAGAAGCACCGGCUAACUCCGUGCCAGCCGCCGCGGUAAUAC